CCUACGGGGGGCAGCAGUGGGGAAUAUUGGACAAUGGGGGGAACCCUGAUCCAGCCAUGCCGCGUGUGUGAAGAAGGCCCUCGGGUUGUAAAGCACUUUCAGUGAGGAAGAACGCCUGGUGGUUAAUACCCAUCAGGAAAGACAUCACUCACAGAAGAAGCACCGGCUAACUCCGUGCCAGCAGCCGCGGUAAUACGGAGGGUGCGAGCGUUAUUCGGAAUUACUGGGCGUAAAGCGCGCGUAGGUGGCUUGAUAAGCCGGUUGUGAAAGCCCCGGGCUCAACCUGGGAACGGCAUCCGGAACUGUCAAGCUAGAGUGCAGGAGAGGAAGGUAGAAUUCCCGGUGUAGCGGUGAAAUGCGUAGAGAUCGGGAGGAAUACCAGUGGCGAAGGCGGCCUUCUGGACUGACACUGACACUGAGGUGCGAAAGCGUGGGUAGCAAACAGGAUUAGAUACCCUAGUAGUC
rnacentral:rRNA from 1 species